UUAAGUUAUUAAGGGCGCACGGUGGAUGCCUUGGCACUAGAAGCCGAUGAAGGACGUUACUAACGACGAUAUGCUUUGGGGAGCUGUAAGUAAGCUUUGAUCCAGAGAUUUCCGAAUGGGGAAACCCAGCAUGAGUUAUGUCAUGUUAUCGAUAUGUGAAUACAUAGCAUAUCAGAAGGCACACCCGGAGAACUGAAACAUCUUAGUACCCGGAGGAAGAGAAAGAAAAUUCGAUUCCCUUAGUAGCGGCGAGCGAAACGGGAAGAGCCCAAACCAACAAGCUUGCUUGUUGGGGUUGUAGGACACUCURUACGGAGUUACAAAGGACGACAUUAGACGAAUCAUCUGGAAAGAUGAAUCAAAGAAGGUAAUAAUCCUGUAGUCGAAAAUGUUGUCUCUCUUGAGUGGAUCCUGAGUACGACGGAGCACGUGAAAUUCCGUCGGAAUCUGGGAGGACCAUCUCCUAAGGCUAAAUACUCUCUAGUGACCGAUAGUGAACCAGUACCGUGAGGGAAAGGUGAAAAGCACCCCGGAAGGGGAGUGAAAUAGAACCUGAAACCGUGUGCUUACAAGUAGUCAGAGCCCGUUAAUGGGUGAUGGCGUGCCUUUUGUAGAAUGAACCGGCGAGUUACGAUUUGAUGCAAGGUUAAGCAGUAAAUGUGGAGCCGUAGCGAAAGCGAGUCUGAAUAGGGCGUUUAGUAUUUGGUCGUAGACCCGAAACCAGGUGAUCUACCCUUGGUCAGGUUGAAGUUCAGGUAACACUGAAUGGAGGACCGAACCGACUUACGUUGAAAAGUGAGCGGAUGAACUGAGGGUAGCGGAGAAAUUCCAAUCGAACCUGGAGAUAGCUGGUUCUCUCCGAAAUAGCUUUAGGGCUAGCCUCAAGUGAUGAUUAUUGGAGGUAGAGCACUGUUUGGACGAGGGGCCCCUCUCGGGUUACCGAAUUCAGACAAACUCCGAAUGCCAAUUAAUUUAACUUGGGAGUCAGAACAUGGGUGAUAAGGUCCGUGUUCGAAAGGGAAACAGCCCAGACCACCAGCUAAGGUCCCAAAAUAUAUGUUAAGUGGAAAAGGAUGUGGCGUUGCCCAGACAACUAGGAUGUUGGCUUAGAAGCAGCCAUCAUUUAAAGAGUGCGUAAUAGCUCACUAGUCGAGUGACACUGCGCCGAAAAUGUACCGGGGCUAAACAUAUUACCGAAGCUGUGGAUUGUCCUUUGGACAAUGGUAGGAGAGCGUUCUAAGGGCGUUGAAGCAUGAUCGUAAGGACAUGUGGAGCGCUUAGAAGUGAGAAUGCCGGUGUGAGUAGCGAAAGACGGGUGAGAAUCCCGUCCACCGAUUGACUAAGGUUUCCAGAGGAAGGCUCGUCCGCUCUGGGUUAGUCGGGUCCUAAGCUGAGGCCGACAGGCGUAGGCGAUGGAUAACAGGUUGAUAUUCCUGUACCACCUAUAAUCGUUUUAAUCGAUGGGGGGACGCAGUAGGAUAGGCGAAGCGUGCGAUUGGAUUGCACGUCUAAGCAGUAAGGCUGAGUAUUAGGCAAAUCCGGUACUCGUUAAGGCUGAGCUGUGAUGGGGAGAAGACAUUGWGUCUUCGAGUCGUUGAUUUCACACUGCCGAGAAAAGCCUCUAGAUAGAAAAUAGGUGCCCGUACCGCAAACCGACACAGGUAGUCAAGAUGAGAAUUCUAAGGUGAGCGAGCGAACUCUCGUUAAGGAACUCGGCAAAAUGACCCCGUAACUUCGGGAGAAGGGGUGCUCUUUAGGGUUAACGCCCAGAAGAGCCGCAGUGAAUAGGCCCAAGCGACUGUUUAUCAAAAACACAGGUCUCUGCUAAACCGUAAGGUGAUGUAUAGGGGCUGACGCCUGCCCGGUGCUGGAAGGUUAAGAGGAGUGGUUAGCUUCUGCGAAGCUACGAAUCGAAGCCCCAGUAAACGGCGGCCGUAACUAUAACGGUCCUAAGGUAGCGAAAUUCCUUGUCGGGUAAGUUCCGACCCGCACGAAAGGCGUAACGAUUUGGGCACUGUCUCAACGAGAGACUCGGUGAAAUCAUAGUACCUGUGAAGAUGCAGGUUACCCGCGACAGGACGGAAAGACCCCGUGGAGCUUUACUGUAGCCUGAUAUUGAAAUUCGGCACAGCUUGUACAGGAUAGGUAGGAGCCUUUGAAACGUGAGCGCUAGCUUACGUGGAGGCGCUGGUGGGAUACUACCCUAGCUGUGUUGGCUUUCUAACCCGCACCACUUAUCGUGGUGGGAGACAGUGUCARGCGGGCAGUUUGACUGGGGCGGUCGCCUCCUAAAAGGUAACGGAGGCGCUCAAAGGUUCCCUCAGAAUGGUUGGAAAUCAUUCAUAGAGUGUAAAGGCAUAAGGGAGCUUGACUGCGAGACCUACAAGUCGAGCAGGGUCGAAAGACGGACUUAGUGAUCCGGUGGUUCCGCAUGGAAGGGCCAUCGCUCAACGGAUAAAAGCUACCCCGGGGAUAACAGGCUUAUCUCCCCCAAGAGUUCACAUCGACGGGGAGGUUUGGCACCUCGAUGUCGGCUCAUCGCAUCCUGGGGCUGUAGUCGGUCCCAAGGGUUGGGCUGUUCGCCCAUUAAAGCGGUACGCGAGCUGGGUUCAGAACGUCGUGAGACAGUUCGGUCCCUAUCCGUCGUGGGCGUAGGAAAUUUGAGAGGAGCUGUCCUUAGUACGAGAGGACCGGGAUGGACAUACCUCUGGUGUACCAGUUGUCGUGCCAACGGCAUAGCUGGGUAGCUAUGUGUGGACGGGAUAAGUGCUGAAAGCAUCUAAGCAUGAAGCCCCCCUCAAGAUGAGAUUUCCCAACUUCGGUUAUAAGAUCCCUCAAAGAUGAUGAGGUUAAUAGGUUCGAGGUGGAAGCAUGGUGACAUGUGGAGCUGACGAAUACUAAUCGAUCGAAGACUUAAUCAA
rnacentral:rRNA from 1 species